rnacentral:rRNA from 1 species
GAUGAACGCUAGCGGGAGGCUUAACACAUGCAAGUCGUGGGGCAUCACGAGGUAGCAAUACUUUGGUGGCGACCGGCGCACGGGUGAGUAACGCGUAUGCAACCUACCCUGUACAGGGGGAUAGCCCGGAGAAAUUCGGAUUAAUACCCCAUAAUGAUAUUUUAUGGCAUCAUAAAAUAUUUAAAGCUCAGGCGGUACGGGAUGGGCAUGCGUAACAUCAGCUAGUUGGUAGGGUAAUGGCCUACCAAGGCGACGAUGUUUAGGGGUCCUGAGAGGGUGAUCCCCCACACUGGUACUGAGACACGGACCAGACUCCUACGGGAGGCAGCAGUGAGGAAUAUUGGUCAAUGGGCGCGAGCCUGAACCAGCCAUCCCGCGUGAAGGAAGACUGCCCUAUGGGUUGUAAACUUCUUUUCCAGGGGAAUAAAAUCUCGAACGAGUUCGGGACUGAAGGUACCCUGGGAAUAAGCAUCGGCUAACUCCGUGCCAGCAGCCGCCGUAAAAC